rnacentral:lncRNA from 1 species
CUGAGCCCAGCAUAGCACCAGGACUUGCCCAGGAAUUGCAGUCCUCGUGGCCUAGAGUGCCUUUCAAGUUUAUUUAGGAUCCUAGAGUACUUUAACCUAUGGUGGUGGAGCUUGCCAGAGUUCAGUUUCUGUCUGCUGGGAUGGACAAUUCCCCUCUGGCUAGGGCUCAUCUAAAUGUUCCCUCUGUGGGUGCUGGCUGAAUUUUUCCUUGUUUUGUUUUCCACUGUGAUAGGGCAGAAGUGAGAUCCAAUGCAAAGUCCCACAAUCGCUGCGUAGUCCCUCCCCAAGUGCACAGAUUUUCUCUCCAUGCCACAUGGCCACUGCUGGAGGAUGGGUGGGGGGGUGACAUAAGUGAUUCAAGACUGUCUUUCUUACCCCCUUCUGUAUCUCUUUUCUUAAUAUGAUGUUAAAUCCAGGUACUACGAUUACUCCCCUAAUUUUUGGUUCUUAUGAAGGUGCUUUUUUGUGUGGAUAGUUGUUGAAUUUGGUGUUCCUGUUGCGGAGACCAUCGCUGGAGGGUUCUAUUCGGCCGUCUUGCUCCAUCUCCUGAAGCCUGACUUUUUUGAGCAUGCCCUAACACUAAAGGAAGCCAAAAGAUUGAACACCCCUGUCGUAGAUGGUAAUGAGUCCUGGAUGAAAAAGCCUGCACCCAGCUCUCUUCCUGAUACUCUAAGUUGCAGGGAAGGCUGAAGCUUCUAGCAAUGGGAAGGAGGAGGUGGCCUUCAGUAUGGACUGGCAUUCACUGAGAUAUUGCUUGCACCAUCUGCUCUUUGGACAUCACACCUUUAGCCCAGUGUCUUUGUUUCCUCUUUGGUAUCAGAUUAGCAUGUCCAUGUACUCUGUGUAUCCCUCAUCCCAACCAAAAGCUCCUUCAGAUCCACUGGGGCCCUUUAUAUCACUCCCUUGAUAUAUCCAGAAGUAAGGCAAACUUCCCUUCUGUGUGUGUGCAGGAGAGUUAGACAAAUGUGAAAGCCCUCUUUGGCCCCAUCGUCUCCCCUGUUUUGUUGCUGCACCGUGCUGUCUGGACUGUCUUUAAGAGAACCAGCCAGGUGUGCUCAGCCUCCUCCUGUGAUGUAUCUGGAUUUCAUCCUCCAUGGUGAAAGGCAAAAGGCUGUUUAUCUCUUCUCUGGUCUGUGUAUGAAAGCUACAUGAAAAUGAGCAUUGAAAGGGUUAAGUGCACUCUUCAUGCAGAAAGACAAAACUUGUGGAUUUUCUAUUCCAUUGGGUCCAAACAAGAAGAACGGUCUGUUGCUAUUAUUUUAGGAUUCAACUCAAUAGCUGAUAAAUUUGAUUUCUUUCACACUCGGCAAAGACUUGAAACAUUGUAGCCCCAGAAUGGGAAGUCUCUUCUCCGAACUUAUGAACAUGUAACUCUUCAGUUCUCCCUCAACUUUAUUAAGCAUAUUGAGUUUCAAAAGACAUUCCUACUCUCCUUCUUCAAUAUCUUCUCUUUUUAAACGUUACUUUAUUUUUUAAAUGUAUUAUGCAGUUUUUAAGACUUUCAAAAAGGGAUAAGGAAAACCAAACCAAUACCUACGUAUCUAUCAAGCAGCUCAAGAAAUACAACAUUAGGAGCAGUUAAAUCCACUAUUUAUGCUCACUGCCUUCUAGAUAGAGUCUGUUACUUCCCAGAGGUCAAUUCCUGAGAGCCUAGGGACCUGGGCAUUGUCUUUGCCAUCUUUGUGAGGCCCUGGAGAUUCCCUUUAUGUCUCUGGCUUCUAUGUUGUCGAAGUCUAGGUUGACCUCGUGAUUUUUGAGGCUGUGGGUUAGCCUUGCAAUGUCUGGAACUUGGCUAUGGGUUUUGAAUGCUUUUCCUUGGGCCUUGUCGUCAGAUGGAAGCGCACAUAGCUUCCCAUGGCCACCUCUUCCAGGAUGUUCAAUGAGAAGUCCCAAAGCCCCGCAUGAGGAUCAGCCUGAGAGGCCAAGGGAAGCUGACCAAGCUCUCUGAACUUGAAAUGGACUAGACUCAUAAAGGAGGAAGCAGUGCCACUGUUUCCUGGAGCCUCAGCCCCCUAUGGGGACACCUUGUACUGACAGGGUGAGCCGGGCUGAGGCUGGGUUUGAGGGCAGGUCCAGCUGUCCUCUCACUUGGCCUCUUCUGAGCAGGGUUUCUCUUCCAGCCGUGGCACUGUCCUGGCUGGAGAGCUUCAGGGCAGUGUCUGCCCCAUACCCUCAUCUGGGCUCUGAGAUGGCUUCGUGGGUCAUUUUUGGUGAAGGGGGAGCUCAGAAUAUUUGCAUUAUUUUGUGGACAUUGGUCUUGACUAAGAAUAACUAAGAAUUGAAGGCCCAGGGGUCUUAAAGAUAAGAAAAAAAUGCAAAAACUUAAGGAGUCAUUUGCCCUGUUGCUCCUGGAUAUUGCAGCCAAAUAAACACAUUCCCAAAUUUAUUUAUGUUGCAGACCAGUCAUUUUUCCUUAUACAGGAAUCUUAUUAAAGCAAUAAAUCAAUGUUAACCUGGGUUUUAAAUUGGCCCAAUAUGUUUGGAGAAAUUGCUGGUUUAAUUUUCCUCUUUUUCAUUUUUCAAUUAACUAAUUUAGCUUUCCCAGUUGGGAUACCACAAACCUUAACACAUGAAUUUAUCUUGAAACCAGGAGGCCCCAACAUACAUUGCCAGCAAAACAAAAGAGGAAAACCCAACAUUUGUCCUGUCAUGAGACAGCAAAGAAGCACGGGUCCAGAAAAUAUCUAUCUUUGUUGCUGCAAACUACCUAAGCCUAAGCUCUGUGAAGCAGCCUCAACUGCCUGUAGACUCCCCUGAAUACUCUUUCUGAAUUUUCUCCACAUUCACUGUGACUAAAAGUUUCCAGAGCAUCUCUGUUGUAGACUGAAUGUUUAUAUCCCUCCUACUUCCCCAAAACUCAUAUGUUGAAGCCCUGACCCCUGAUGUGACUGUAUUUGGAGACAGGGCCUUUACAGAAGUAAUUAAGGUUAAAUGAGGCUAUAGGAUGGGGCUCUGAUCUAAUAGGAUUGGUGUCCUUAAGAGACACCAGAGAGCUUGUUUACUCUCUGAGUGUACAAGAAGAGGUCGUAUGGGCACACAAUGAGAUGGUGGCCACCUGCGAAGAGAAGAGGCCUCAGAAUGAAACCCACCCUUCUGGCACCUUGAUCUUGGAUUUCCAAUCUCCAGAACUGUGAGAAAAUAAACUUUUGUUCUUCAAGCCAUGCAAUUUCUACUAUUUUGUUACGACAGCCCAAGCUGACUAAACAGUUACCCAGCAAUGUUUUCCCAGGAACACUGUGAAAACUGCUGGUGCCCUGCCAUCCGCCUGGGAGUGCUUAGUACCCCAGCAUACAUGUACAACUGGACGGAUCUCAGCCAAGGGACCUCAUCACCCACCACAGCUUCGCUAUAUUAUAACACAGUCCAAGACUCCAGAGUAUGAAUGGGCCCAGAUAGCAAAGCAAGCUUCUUUCCCACCAACCUCAGAGCAAAAUGUGUAUGUGAGAGUGUGUGUCUGUUGGGGAGGGGAGACUUUUGCAAUGGACCAAUCCUCCAAGUGUCCUCAACUUCAUGGGUGCGUUGUGAUUUGUUCUCCACCCUGAAGCCUGCAACUUGGACUUGUGAGACCUGGCCUUAGGAAAAUACAGGCUCAGUGAAUGCUAAGUUUGUGGGGAAGCUGUUUUGUAGAGUCAAAAGAACACCGGCUUUGGAGUCAGACAAAGCUAGGUUCAAAUUCCAGCUUUUUAGUGCAUUGACCAAAAUAGUAAAAGUAAGGACUCAUUGUCUAAACUAAUAGAGCUGACAAAUCCAGGCAUGUGUUUUGCCUUCAGGAACAGCUACAUCCAGGCACUCAAAAGACAUCAUUGGAAAUCUAUUUCCUUCUCUCUUUCUGCUCCAGUGAUUUCUCUAUUGGCCUCAUUCUGAGGACAGUGCUUCCUCAGCAGCUCCAGACUCACAUGAUGAAUGGAGGAAGAAGGUCUCUGCCAAGAUUUAUAACACAGGUCUUG